rnacentral:rRNA from 1 species
CCUACGGGGGGCUGCAGUGGGGAAUAUUGCACAAUGGGCGCAAGCCUGAUGCAGCGACGCCGCGUGAGGGAUGAAGGCCUUCGGGUUGUAAACCUCUUUCGACAGGGAAGAAGCUUUUGUGACGGUACCUGUAGAAGAAGCACCGGCUAACUACGUGCCAGCAGCCGCGGUAAUACGUAGGGUGCGAGCGUUGUCCGGAAUUAUUGGGCGUAAAGAGCUUGUAGGCGGUUUGUCGCGUCUGCUGUGAAAAUCCGGGGCUUAACUCUGGACGUGCA